rnacentral:piRNA from 1 species
UAAAAUUCUGCCCAACAACUCUCCUCCCAAA